GUAGGGUGCGAGCGUUGUCCGGAAUUAUUGGGCGUAAAGAGCUCGUAGGCGGCUUGUUGCGUCGGAUGUGAAAGCCCGGGGCUUAACUCCGGGUCUGCAUUCGAUACGGGCAGGCUAGAGUUCGGUAGGGGAGAUCGGAAUUCCUGGUGUAGCGGUGAAAUGCGCAGAUAUCAGGAGGAACACCGGUGGCGAAGGCGGAUCUCUGGGCCGAUACUGACGCUGAGGAGCGAAAGCGUGGGGAGCGAACAGGAUUAGAUACCCUGGUAGUCCACGCCGUAAACGUUGGGCACUAGGUGUGGGCGGCAUUCCACGUCGUCCGUGCCGCAGCUAACGCAUUAAGUGCCCCGCCUGGGGAGUACGGCCGCAAGGCUAAA
rnacentral:rRNA from 1 species